CCUAGGGUUUAACUGCCAACCCUGAUAUGGUCAUUCACAUUGUAUUUCAAUUUUUAAAAUCCAUCAUAUGGAUUACCCCAGUCAAGAUUUUACUGAAUUAAAACAUACUGAUACAUUAACUCCUACUUACUCGGAGGGGUCAAUUCUAUCUUGACUCACACACCGACUUCACAAGUACUUGACUAUGUCCAGAAAUCUUUCAUCGAUGAAUUAGAAAUUUAGGUAGUCCGGCACUAAAGCAUAGUGAGUUACUUGCAAGUCACCGUGAUGAUC
rnacentral:lncRNA from 1 species